UGGCUCUAGCAUNGAUGAAGAACGCAGCGAAAUGCGAUAAGUAAUGUGAAUUGCAGAAUUCAGUGAAUCAUCGAAUCUUUGAACGCAUAUUGCGCCCCCUGGUAUUCCGGGGGGCAUACCUGUUCGAGCGUCAUUACACCCCUCAAGCUCUGCUUGGUGUUGGGUUUCGCUAGCGAUGGCGGGCCUCAAAACUAGUGGCGGUGCCCCGCAGCCCUAAGCGUAGUAAAUCUCUCGCUCCAGGUGCGGCGGUGGUUCCGGCCAGAAGCCUUUCUCCUAAGGUUGACCUCGGAUCAGGUAGGGAUACCCGCUGA
rnacentral:misc_RNA from 1 species